CUUAGUACGGAAGUAUUCAUUGUACAUAGUGAUAAUUUGGAGAAGGGUUUUUAGAACUUUUAUCUUAAAUGCUUUCUUGAUCCUUGAGGGAAACAAGCAAAAAUUACAAGCGAGGUUUGCCGAGGAAGCGUAUAAAAGAUACGUACAGGAUGGCCACUUGUAAUUAUGAGAUACUGCAAACCUCAGACAAGUUGUAUAUAAUAAAAAUGCUUAUCCAUUUUUUGCCACCAUUAAAAAGACCUUUUGGCGGAGCAAAGCUUUAACCGAUAGGAACGUAUAAUCUUACACAAAAGUUACAUCCCGU